GUGGGGAAUAUUGGACAAUGGGCGAAAGCCUGAUCCAGCCAUGCCGCGUGUGUGAAGAAGGUCUUCGGAUUGUAAAGCACUUUAAGUUGGGAGGAAGGGCAGUAAGUUAAUACCUUGCUGUUUUGACGUUACCGACAGAAUAAGCACCGGCUAACUUCGUGCCAGCAGCCGCGGUAAUACGAAGGGUGCCAGCGUUAAUCGGAAUUACUGGGCGUAAAGCGCGCGUAGGUGGUUCGUUAAGUUGGAUGUGAAAGCCCCGGGCUCAACCUGGGAACGGCAUCCAAAACUGGCGAGCUAGAGUACGGUAGAGGGUGGUGGAAUUUCCUGUGUAGCGGUGAAAUGCGUAGAUAUAGGAAGGAACACCAGUGGCGAAGGCGACCACCUGGACUGAUACUGACACUGAGGUGCGAAAGCGUGGGGAGCAAACAGGAUUAGAAACCCCGGUAGUCC
rnacentral:rRNA from 1 species